rnacentral:ncRNA from 1 species
ACCAUCCUUCUCUUGGGGUUGUGCUACUGUCCAAUCAACAGUUAGCGGUGGGGGCCCUGCUCAUUCCUGCCAACACCCUUGCAUCAGCUGAAGCUUUGCUUGGCCUUGGUGUGGUUUUUUCGAGG